GCAUUUAAGCAGAAAGUGUUUCAGGCUCUGCAGAGGUGACACUGGCGUGUUUCUGCACUCAGGGUGCCCUUCCUGCCUUUUCCUCCCGGACACAGAGUCACAAGUGUGCACAGGGAAUGACAGACUCGGCGUCCAGUGGAGCCAUCCCCUGGCCUCGGAGUAGGAGGCGCGCCCAGGCCAGGCCAGACCACAGUGUAACAGGAGGGAGGAGGGCUUGCUUCUUUCAGGCAAGAAAAUUAAAACGGACAAAGAAAUAAAAGUAUUAAAUGUAUAGGAAAAACUGGAGUUUUUAUGACAGCGAUCAUCUAUAAAGAAACCAAGAGAAGUAAGCAAACAUUUGAACUAGCUCAGACAAGCAGCCUGCUUCACCCGCAGUUCACAAGGAAAACCCACAAUCAUAACGUUAAAAAUAUUCCCAAGCGCCGGGCGCGGUGGCUCACGCCUGUAAUCCCAGAACUUUGGAAGGCCAAGGUGAGAAAAUUGCUUAAGGUCAGGAGUUCAAGACCAGCCUAACCAACAUGGUGAAACCCCAUCUCUACUAAAAAUACAAAAAUUAGCCAGGCGUGGUGGCAGGUGCCUGUAAUCCCAGCAACUCGGGAAGCUGAGGUACGAGAAUCGCUUGAACCUGGGAGGGGGAAGUUGCAGUGAGCCGAGAUAGCGCCAUUGCACUCCAGCCUGGGCGACAGAGCGAGACUAAAAAAUGAAAUAUGAAAUGAAAUGAAAUAAUGAAAUGAAGAAAUGAAAUAUAAAAUAAAAUAAUCCCAAGCUUGGGACCCAGACUCUAACUGCUGAAAUGGAACCCCAGUGUGGAUCAGAACCUGGUGAUGAGACAGGGACACUUAAGAAUUCAACUUUGGGAGCUCAAGGUGCCCUCCAGUCCUCUCCUCACAGUGUGGAAACACUCUUUCCUUCAAAACCUUCAUUUGUACCAGCAGGAAACUCUCACCCGGAGUCAAUGUAAAGUCGUGACCUAAAUAAAUUGUCAUGUUCCCAAACCUUUUCUCCAGGGGACAAUGCAAACAAGUUUUUCACUGAGUCUGACCCUCACAGAUUUUCUUCAUGUAUACAAAUUACAGCCUGACUCAGCGACCCCAUGAAUGCUAAAACCAAAACACUGUCCAGGAAAUGGCCCCAGGCGCCAAAGGCUCCAGACUGGUCUCAGGCUCUCCUGCCCACUGCAGUUUAUUCACUUGCUUCUCACCAACACUGAUCCACUUAGGUAAGAAAAAAGACCUUCAAUCCCCUUUGCUGUUUGUUUGUUUUUAAGAAACUAGCAGAGUUCCUGCUUUCCUUCUGUGGUUAUGUAUAAGCUGGAAGACAAAAAAUUCUAAAAUACUUUAUAUGGAUUUUAAAACUGGCAAGUAAUGAUUCCUUUGAGAAAACAAAGAUAUCAGCUAUGCUAUUAUGAUUUAUA